GACUGCCUAUCUGACCUCCUUAAUCCAGUUCCCUAGACAACACGAUAUCCCUUACUCAGACUAACUAGCUUCUGAUGCCCGUAAAGACUGUCAAAAAUGUAUGAAUAUCAGGCGGGACCCACAAAUGAGCGCACCAUCCGAUACAGGGAGGGACUCGCUACGACAUAUAUGGUCACCCGUCCAGGGACCGACCAUGUCAAGCAUAGCUUAACCUGCACUGGAUCAACUUGUGCAGCUAUAGUUUAACCCUCUUCCCAGCACUUGAGUGUUUUAAUUGGUAAAACCAAGUAGACUUCAAAACGCGAAAUUUGUGUUUCAGAGAAAAAGUAUUUGUUUCAAAAACUCGACGACUUUUCGAGUGCUGGGCAUUUCCAUUACCACAAAUAUUCAGUAAAUGGACGAGCUACGAUCUUGACCCAGCCACUGUACAUUGGAAUAUCGAUGGGUGAGAACACCGGUUUUACAAUCAGCGAUAUAGUGAAACUAAGGUUGCUGUACAACUACAUUGUGAGGAAAAAAGUAAAUAAUAUGGUGUCAGAAUGUAACCGACUAUUUAUGCCAUCCUCGAUAGCAGGUUUCAAUAAGAGAAAACCGAAUUUUCUGGAUAAACUACCCAGAAACAAGCCACACCAAUAAUUAGGUCUUUCAAAAGAGCGUGCAGAAACCGACGACAGUCAAGGCAAAAACGUUAAUGAGGACACGACGCAGGAGAAAACUAGUUACAAUGAUGAUUAUAUUCAUGAAUCAGGUGAUGUAGGAAAAAAAACUACAGUAAAUGCGGAACAUGAAAAAUUGGGAAUUUCAAUUCUUUCG